rnacentral:lncRNA from 1 species
ACUCUUCCUCAUUGUUAUUACCUGGUGAAAAUCAAUUUGAGAAAGGAAGGGUUUAUUUGGGUUUACCAUCCAUGAGGCAUGCCAACAAGAGCAUCCAUGAGGCAUGACAACAAGAGUGUUAGGCAGCUUGUCACAAUGUGUGCAGUGAAGAAGAGGCCAGUCUGUAGUACACUUCCUUGAUUGGUGACUGAGGGGGAAAGGCUCAGCUUGUGGAGAGCUGUGCCACCCAGAAGCUGAAUGGUAUAAGAAAGCCAUCUGAGCAAGACAUGGAAAGCGAGCCAGCAAUCAGCACUCCUCCAUGGCCUCUGCAUCAUUUCCCACCUCCAGAUACUUGCUUUGAGGUUCUACCUUGGACAGUGGACUAAAAACUAUAUGGUAAAAUAAAAUCUUGCCUUCCAA